UAAAGAUUCAUCGCUGAUAGAUAGGCAUGCGUUCCAUUAGGCAGUUGGCGGGGUAACGGCCCACCAAACCGACGAUGGAUAGGGGUUCUGAGAGGAAGGUCCCCCACAUUGGUACUGAGACACGGACCAGACUCCUACGGGAGGCAGCAGUGAGGAAUAUUGGUCAAUGGGCGUAAGCCUGAACCAGCCAAGUCGCGUGAGGGAUGAAGGUUCUAUGGAUCGUAAACCUCUUUUAUAAGGGAAUAAAGUGCGGGACGUGUCCCGUUUUGUAUGUACCUUAUGAAUAAGGAUCGGCUAACUCCGUGCCAGCAGCCGCGGUAAUACGGAGGAUCCGAGCGUUAUCCGGAUUUAUUGGGUUUAAAGGGUGCGUAGGCGGCCUUUUAAGUCAGCGGUGAAAGUCUGUGGCUCAACCAUAGAAUUGCCGUUGAAACUGGGAGGCUUGAGUAUGUUUGAGGCAGGCGGAAUGCGUGGUGUAGCGGUGAAAUGCUUAGAUAUCACGCAGAACCCCGAUUGCGAAGGCAGCCUGCCAAGCCAUGACUGACGCUGAUGCACGAAAGCGUGGGGAUCAAACAGGAUUAGAUACCCUGGUAGUCCACGCAGUAAACGAUGAUCACUAGCUGUUUGCGAUACACAGUAA
rnacentral:rRNA from 1 species